UUCUAACUCAAAGGUAUCUGAGUGAAAUUUAAUGACCUGUGUUAUAGAGGAGGUCAGACUAGAUGAUCUAAUGGUCCCUUCUGUCCUUAAAAGUUUAUGAAACUA